AAGUCGUAACAAGGUUUCCGUAGGUGAACCUGCGGAAGGAUCAUUAACAAAUCAUUGAGCGCAAGCUCAGUAACCUUUGUGAAUUGGCCGACAAGACAAGUAACAUUGUGUUGUGGGUUUGUUGGGUUUGAGGGGCCUGUGCCGCAGUGGUUGUGUAUGUGUGUGUGUGUAUAUGCAUGCAUGUACAUCAGCCAUGGCAGUGCAGGUCGGAUUGCUGGAAGCCACGGUGCAGCUAGAGUUGAUUUAGCGGCAGGUGUGGCGGAAGGCGGUCACAACAACUUAAUAUAGUCUAAUUUAUUAUUAAAGGUCGAAAGGCUUUUGAGAACUAAUACAACUUUUAACAAUGGAUCUCUAGGCUCUU
rnacentral:misc_RNA from 1 species